rnacentral:lncRNA from 12 species
GUGUCCAGGGUCGCUGGAGGAAGCCUGAGAGAGGGAAGCUAGAGAUGUAAGUGCACCUCUGCUUCUGCAGGGAGGAGUGGUGAGGCUUGUAGUCUGGAGGGGCUCCAGAAGCAGAGCCAGGAUCUUCAAAGACCUGCCCUAGGGGCAGAGAUAAGUCCGGCCUCCAGAAAACUCUGAAUCCAGACCUGAAAGGAAGCCAGGACUCCAUGUUCACCUCCCAUCCCUGCUUCUCUCCACAGGUCAGUCUGAUCCUUUUCUUCCAUUUCACGUGACCCACCAUUCAGUGCCCCAGCAGGAGAUGCCACCUCACAGCUCCAAAAUGUCCAGGCUGGGGUCCCAGGAAAGCAGAGCUUGAUGUCAAGGGAAGCACUGGAGACUGGGAUUCAGGGAGCAGGAGGGAGGCCCAGGACGGGGAGCCAUUCAAAGAUGUGUCACCAAGUGGCCAGAGCUUCAAGUGACUGGUUGCUUGAUCCCACAGGCCCAGCUGAGGAGUCAUCCUUCUGGGGGAAGGAAGGGAAAGCAUCUCAAAUGCCUUCUCACCAUUCCUUGACUGUUCAAUCUCUGAAUCUGUGGUCUGCACCCAAUCCUGUGAUUAGGAGCAGGAGAGUGAGGAUGCGCUGGCAGCGGCGACAAGCUGGCUGCCACCUGGUGGCUAGAUGAGGAAAUGCACCCAGUCUCAUUUAGCGAAGCUGUUCAAGGACAGGUAACCUCUACCUUUUAAUAUCUCUCUGCAAGUUUCUCUAGACUCUGUGAACAAGAUAGGUGUCACAGGCGUGGUCCCCUCAGAGGUCUCCGGUACGUGUGCCCAUUGACCUGAAAUGUAGCCCAAACUCUUUCUGCAAUCAACACGAUCUCUCACACAUCCAUUUGUUUAUCUGUUCAUUCCUUCAACAAACAUUUGCUGGGCAGUUGCCAGGGGUCCAGACUCAGGGGAAGAAGAGAGAGGCCCUGCCUUUCUUGUGGGGAAGAAAGUCACUCAUUUAUUCGACAGUGAUUUACAUACUACAAGCCCACAAGCGUUGUGCUGGCAUUGUAGAUAAUAACCAAUGAUGAGACAGCUGAACUGACCUAAUGAACCUGAUGUUCUAUUGACAGAUAAAUAAAAGCAUGAAACAGUGAUAGGCGCUGUGAAGG